UACGUAGGGGGCAAGCGUUGUCCGGAAUCAUUGGGCGUAAAGAGCGUGUAGGCGGCCCGGUAAGUCCGCUGUGAAAGUCCAGGGCUCAACCCUGGGAUGCCGGUGGAUACUGUCGGGCUCGAGUCCGGAAGAGGAGUGUGGAAUUCCUGGUGUAGCGGUGAAAUGCGCAGAUAAUCAGGAGGAACACCAAUGGCGAAGGCAGCACUCUGGGACGUGACUGACGCUGAGACGCGAAAGCGUGGGGAGCAAACAGG
rnacentral:rRNA from 1 species